rnacentral:rRNA from 1 species
AGAAUCAACGCUGGCGGCGUGCCUAACACAUGCAAGUCGCACGAGAAAGGGACUUCGGUCCUGAGUAAAGUGGCGCACGGGUGAGUAACACGUGAAUAAUCUACCUCCGAGUGGGGAAUAACUGAGAGAAAUCUUAGCUAAUACCGCAUAAUACCCACGGGUCAAAGCAGCAAUGCGCUUGGAGAGGAGUUCGCGGCCGAUUAGCUAGUUGGCGGGGUAAUGGCCCACCAAGGCGAUGAUCGGUAUCCGGCCUGAGAGGGCGCACGGGACACACUGGAACUGAAACACGGUCCAGACUCCUACGGGAGGCAGCAGUGGGGAAUUUUGCGCAAUGGGGGAAACCCUGACGCAGCAACGCCGCGUGGAGGAUGAAGUAUCUUGGUACGUAAACUCCUUUCGAUAGGGAGAUAAUGACGGUACCUAUAGAAGAAGCCCGGCUAACUUCGCGCCAGCAGCCGC